GUGAGGAAUAUUGGUCAAUGGGCGAGAGCCUGAACCAGCCAAGUAGCGUGAAGGAUGACUGCCCUAUGGGUUGUAAACUUCUUUUAUAAGGGAAUAAAGUGAGGGACGUGUCCCUUUUUGUAUGUACCUUAUGAAUAAGGAUCGGCUAACUCCGUGCCAGCAGCCGCGGUAAUACGGAGGAUCCAAGCGUUAUCCGGAUUUAUUGGGUUUAAAGGGAGCGUAGGUUGACAUAUAAGUCAGCUGUGAAAGUUUACGGCUCAACCGUGAGAUUGCAGUUGAUACUGUAUGUCUUGAGUGUACAAGAGGUGGGCGGAAUUCGUGGUGUAGCGGUGAAAUGCUUAGAUAUCACGAAGAACUCCAAUUGCGAAGGCAGCUCACUGGGGUACAACUGACACUGAGGCUCGAAAGUGUGGGUAUCAAACAGGAUUAGAAACCCUUGUAGUCC
rnacentral:rRNA from 1 species